rnacentral:lncRNA from 1 species
AAAACAAUGAACAAGGAAACCAGCGGCACUGGCUUCCAAGCCACUUCUACUCUACAUAAUCUUGUGUGGGAGCCUUCGUCUGCAAAAGCAGGAGCUUGCAGUCUACAAUAUGCAUAUACUUCUCAAACAAGCAGGAAGUGGAACGCAGAUGACAAAGAGACAUCUGAUGCCGUGAUUUUUGCCAGAAUGACAACACCAUCCCUAAGAUGAGUCCAGACUAAAGCCGUGAUGGAAACACAGGAUCCUACCAAAUGCGAGGACAGCCGGGCGUGGUGGCGCACGCCUGCAAUCCCAGCACUCAGGAGGCUGAGGCAGGAAGAUCGCUGUGAGUUCAAGGCCAGCCUGGGCUACAUAGCGAAUACAAGGCCCCAAAACCCCAGA